GUUGUCGUGGCCGAGUGGUUAAGGAGAUGGACCAGAAAUCUUUUGGGAUCUUCCCGCGCAGGUUCGAAUCCUGCCGCCAUCG
rnacentral:tRNA from 1 species